AACGAACGCUGGCGGCAUGCCUAACACAUGCAAGUCGAACGAGACCUUCGGGUCUAGUGGCGCACGGGUGCGUAACGCGUGGGAACCUGCCCUUAGGUUCGGAAUAACUCCCCGAAAGGGGUGCUAUUACCGGAUAAUGUCUUCGGACCAAAGAUUUAUCGCCUUUGGAUGGGCCGGCGUUGGAUUAGCUAGUUGGUAGGGUAAAAGACUACCAAGGCGACGAUCCAUAGCUGGUCUGAGAGGAUGAUCAGCCACACUGGGACUGAGACACGGCCCAGACUCCUACGGGAUGCAGCAGUGGGGAAUAUUGGACAAUGGGCGAAAGCCUGAACCAGCAAUGCCGCGUAAGUGAUGAAGACCGUAAUGUUGUAAAGCUCAUUUACCCGGGAUGGUAAUGACAGUACCGGGAGAAUAAGCUCCGGCUAACUCCGUG
rnacentral:rRNA from 1 species